rnacentral:rRNA from 1 species
CAGCAGCCGCGGUAAUACCAGCCCCGCGAGUGGUCGGGACGGUUAUUGGGCCUAAAGCGCCCGUAGCCGGCCCGGCAAGUCCCUCCUUAAAGCCUCGGGCCCAACCCGAGGACGGGGGGGAUACUGCCGGGCUAGGGGGCGGGAGAGGCCGGCGGUACUCCCGGGGUAGGGGCGAAAUCCGUUAAUCCCGGGAGGACCACCAGUGGCGAAGGCGGCCGGCUGGAACGCGCCCGACGGUGAGGGGCGAAAGCCGGGGGAGCGAACCGGAUUAGAUACCCGGGUAGUCCCGGCUGUAAACGAUGCGGGCUAGCUGUGGGGCGGGCUUAGAGCCCGCCCAGUGGCGCAGGGAAGCCGUUAAGUCCGCCGCCUGGGGAGUACGGCCGCAAGGCUGAAACUUAAAGGAAUUGGCGGG